rnacentral:rRNA from 1 species
UUGUUGGUAAGGUAAAAGCUUACCAAGGCUUCGAUCAGUAGCUGGUCUGAGAGGACGACCAGCCACACUGGGACUGAGACACGGCCCAGACUCCUACGGGAGGCAGCAGUGGGGAAUUUUGGACAAUGGGGGCAACCCUGAUCCAGCCAUGCCGCGUGAGUGAAGAAGGCCUUCGGGUUGUAAAGCUCUUUCAGCCGGAACGAAACGGUUACGGAUAACACCCGUGACUACUGACGGUACCGGAAGAAGAAGCACCGGCUAACUACGUGCCAGCAGCCGCGGUAAUACGUAGGGUGCGAGCGUUAAUCGGAAUUACUGGGCGUAAAGCGUGCGCAGGUGGUUUUGUAAGUCAGAUGUGAAAGCCCCGGGCUCAACCUGGGAACUGCGUUUGAAACUACAAGACUAGAGUGCGGCAGAGGGGGGUGGAAUUCCGCGUGUAGCAGUGAAAUGCGUAGAGAUGUGGAGGAACACCGAUGGCGAAGGCAGCCCCCUGGGUCAACACUGACGCUCAGGCACGAAAGCAUGGGGAGCAAACAGGAUUAGAUACCCUGGUAGUCCAUGCCCUAAACGAUGUCAACUAGUUGUCGGGCCUUUACGGGCUUGGUAACGUAGCUAACGCGUGAAGUUGACCGCUUGGGGAGUACGAUCGCAAGAUUAAAACUCAAAUGAAUUGACGGGGACCCGCACAAGCGGUGGAUUAUGUGGAUUAAUUCGAUGCAACGCGAAAAACCUUACCUACCCUUGACAUGUAUCGAAGCCCGCAGAAAAGCGGGGGUGCCCGAAAGGGAACGAUAACACAGGUGCUGCAUGGCUGUCGUCAGCUCGUGUCGUGAGAUGUUGGGUUAAGUCCCGCAACGAGCGCAACCCUUGUCAUUAAUUGCCAUCAUUUAGUUGGGCACUUUAAUGAGACUGCCGG